rnacentral:rRNA from 1 species
AGAGUUUGAUCCUGGCUCAGGACGAACGCUGGCGGCGUGCUUAACACAUGCAAGUCUACGAGAAAGGGGUAGCAAUAUCCUGAGUAAAGUGGCGCACGGGUGAGUAACACGUAGGCAAUCUGCCUUUAGGACGGGGACAACCUCGAGAAAUCGAGGCUAAUACCCGAUAAUGCAGCGGCACCGCAUGGUGACAGUUGUUAAAGGCCCGCAAGGGCGCCUAUUGAUGAGCCUGCGCCCCAUUAGGUAGUUGGUGAGGUAACGGCCCACCAAGCCUGCGAUGGGUAGCUGGUCUGAGAGGAUGAUCAGCCACACUGGAACUGAGACACGGUCCAGACUCCUACGGGAGGCAGCAGUGAGGAAUAUUGCGCAAUGGCCGAAAGGCUGACGCAGCGAUGCCGCGUGAAGGAUGAAGUCCGUUAGGAUGUAAACUCCUUUUGCAGGGGAUGAAUGUGGUGCCUUCGGGUUCCAUUGACCGUACCCUGCGAAUAAGGAUCGGCUAACUACGUGCCAGCAGCCGCGGUAAUACGUAGGAUCCGAGCGUUGUCCGGAAUUACUGGGUGUAAAGGGCGUGUAGGUGGAACUUUAAGUCGGUGGUGAAAGCCUGCAGCUUAACUGCAGAACUGCCUUCGACACUGAAGUUCUUGAGUACGGCAGAGGGAGAUGGAAUUCAUGGUGUAGCAGUGAAAUGUGUAGAUAUCAUGAAGAACACCGGUAGCGAAGGCGGUCUCCUGGUCCGUAACUGACACUGAGGCGCGAAAGCGUGGGGAGCAAACAGGAUUAGAUACCCUGGUAGUCCACGCCUUAAACGAUGGGUACUAGGUGCUGGGC